CACAGAACUAGGACCUAGCAACUGGAACUGGAAUCCCUUGGCCCUGAAAGGAAUUUGAGAUAUCAGGUCCAUUCUCAUGUAUUGACUGACCUUUUCCAGCCAAGUGAGAUUCUUCCCUGGCUUAGGACAAUUCUUGUGAAUGAUUUACAACUCUGCUAGGGUUUAACUAUCCACCCUUUUGGGAUGCUGAAGCCAAAUUCUACAGCAGGGUGGAUUAAGCUUCUUACUUGAUUUGUCCUUGUAAUAUCAACUGGAUGUUUGCCUCUUCCAAAUCCCAUGUCAGAAACUGAUGCUGAUGUUGGAGAUGGGGCCUGGUAAAAGGUGUCUGGGUCGUGGGGGUGAAUCUCUCAUGAGUAACUUGAUGCUGUCUCCUGGUAUUGAGUGAGUUUUUGCUUUGUUGCUUCCCAGGAGAUCUGGUUGUUAGAAAUAUCUGACAUGUCCUCCCUUCUCUCUUCCUUUGUCUCUUGCCAUGUGUUGCUGGUUCCCCUUUGUCUUCUGCCGUGAAUAGAAGCUUCCUGAGGCCCUCACCAGAAGCAGAUGCUGGCGCUAUGCUUCUUGUGCAGUCUACAGAACCUCCAGUGCUUGCCAACCUGGGAACGUUUGUGGUACCUCUGAGCAACCAGAGCACAGCCUAAUAAACAGAGAAGGCUCAGGAGGGUCAGAAACAUGGUGUUUGCUGAUUCAGCCUCAUUUCUCAGCCUACUUGCCAAGAAUUCCCAAAAACGAAGGGAGAAAACGUUGGAGGAUCAUUCUGAGGCUUGAGGUAAUCAGAUCUUUCCAGUUCUUGAAUUAGGUGGCUUGGGAGAUAAGAUAUUGAAACAGAAAGAGCCCAGGCUAGAAAUCAGAAACCUUUCUUUCGCGUUCAAGCCCUAGUUUAUUGGCCAGUGAAUGACCUGCAGCAAGUCAAUGACCUGCAGUGAAUGACCUGCCUUCUGGCAGUUUAAACUGAGGAGGUAGCAAAGCCACCACAGCGAAAACAGAAGCAGGGCCUGGACAUUGUAAUGUCAGCAGAACCUGGGACUGAGUUUUUUUUUUUGGAGAGAGAAUAAAACUACACUGUGUACCUUCAAUGAGAUGUAUGUGUCUGUGUGAUGGAGAGGGCUUGGCAUGCUCAGUUACCACUUUUUCUAUCUUAUAUUCUUAGUUACCUUCUCUGGGAUAUACUUUCCUCCUCUGUUUCCAAAAUCUAGCACUCAAAAUCAUCCAUUUUGAUUUAUGAGGCACCCAAUAUAUAUACUCAAUGUAUAUGUGUAGCAAAUACAAUUUCCCGAGUAGAAAUAAAGAAUACUGUUUUCCAAAAGCCUGGGGCUUAUGAAUAUUUUUGUAGACUACACAUUCUUUGCAACCAUUCUAACAUUUAACUGUGUCUCUAGAGAGCGCAUUCUUUCUAAAGGGAUAGAGGUACUAAAUGGUGACAUUCUAUAGCUAAUGUGGAAAAAUUUAUCACAGUACCAUGUGAUUUGUUCCAGGAACUACCUUUCCCAAAACAAAGGAGCCAGUAGCCUAGAUGUCUGAUUUAGAGAUGACAGAGACCAGUUCUUUUAUUCAUUAGCCAGUGCAUUUUAUUAUACAACUGAAUUUUGAAUUAAAAUACAAAUAGAAUCUUAUAACAUUGGGAUUAAAGAAAUGCUGAUUAAUUUAAUUUAUACUAAGGUGUAGAUGACUGAUGACUAUACCCCAUCUUCAGGUUAUGUUUUAAGUAAUGAUAAGGAAAAAAAGUAAAACAGGAAAAGUGAUGGGAACUCUAAGGGUGGUGGCAAGGUUAUAGGAAAAGGGUU
ensembl:lncRNA